ACUCCUGCGGGAGGCAGCAGUGGGGAAUUUUGGACAGUGGGCGAAAGCCUGAUCCAGCAAUGCCGCGUGUGUGAAGAAGGCCUUCGGGUUGUAAAGCACUUUUGUCCGGAAAGAAAUCCUUGGCUCUAAUACAGUCGGGGGAUGACGGUACCGGAAGAAUAAGCACCGGCUAACUACGUGCCAGCAGCCGCGGUAAUACGUAGGGUGCGAGCGUUAAUCGGAAUUACUGGGCGUAAAGCGUGCGCAGGCGGUUUGCUAAGACCGAUGUGAAAUCCCCGGGCUCAACCUGGGAACUGCAUUGGUGACUGGCAGGCUAGAGUAUGGCAGAGGGGGGUAGAAUUCCACGUGUAGCAGUGAAAUGCGUAGAGAUGUGGAGGAAUACCGAUGGCGAAGGCAGCCCCCUGGGCCAAUACUGACGCUCAUGCACGAAAGCGUGGGGAGCAAACAGGAUUAGAAACCCUAGUAGUCCC
rnacentral:rRNA from 1 species